rnacentral:rRNA from 1 species
AUUGAACGCUGGCGGCAUGCUUUACACAUGCAAGUCGAACGGCAGCGCGGGCUUCGGCCUGGCGGCGAGUGGCGAACGGGUGAGUAAUGCAUCGGAACGUGCCCAGUAGUGGGGGAUAGCCCGGCGAAAGCCGGAUUAAUACCGCAUACGACCUGAGGGUGAAAGCGGGGGACCGAAAGGCCUCGCGCUAUUGGAGCGGCCGAUGUCGGAUUAGCUAGUUGGUGGGGUAAAGGCUUACCAAGGCGACGAUCCGUAGCUGGUCUGAGAGGACGACCAGCCACACUGGGACUGAGACACGGCCCAGACUCCUACGGGAGGCAGCAGUGGGGAAUUUUGGACAAUGGGGGCAACCCUGAUCCAGCCAUGCCGCGUGCGGGAAGAAGGCCUUCGGGUUGUAAACCGCUUUUGUUCGGGAAGAAAUCCUCUGGGCUAAUACCCCGGAGGGAUGACGGUACCGGAAGAAUAAGCACCGGCUAACUACGUG